rnacentral:lncRNA from 1 species
GAUGUGUGUGUGUGUGUGUGUGUGUGUGUGUACUGAUGUGUGUGUGGGUGUGUUACAGGAGACUGAGAUCGACAGCAUUCAUCAGCUAGUUGUUGGUGCCACAGAAAAUGUGAAAGAAGGAAAUGAAGAUAUUAGAGAGGCUAUCAAGAAUAACGCUGGGUUCCGCGUUUGGAUUCUGUUCUUCCUGGUCAUGUGUUCGUUCUCACUGCUGUUUCUGGACUGGUACGACGGCUGAACCACGAGCCCAACCGGAUCACAGAAUCAAUGUGUGUGUGUGUGAGUCUGUGUGUGUGUGAGAGUCUGUGUGUGUGUGAGAGUCUGUGUGUGUGUGAGAGUCUGUGUGUGUGUGAGAGUCUGUGUGUGUGUGAGAGUCUGUGUGUGUGUGAGAGUCUGUGUGUGUGUGAGAGUCUGUGUGUGUGUGAGAGUCUGUGUGUGUGUGUGAGUCUGUGUGUGUGUGUGAGUCUGUGUGUGUGUGUGAUGUGUGUGUGUGAGUGUGUGUGUGUGACUGCAUGGUAUGUGUGUGUGAGUGUGUGACUGUCUGUGUGUGUGUGUAUGAUGUGUGAGUGUGUGGCUCCAGCACACAAAUAUCUCUAAGAAUCAUCUGAAUGUGGAACAUAUUAAAUAAUAUUCAAUAAACCAUUCUCAGUUCAGUCUGUUGUGUUUGUGAUGAUAUGAUCAGCCGCUCGUUCUGAUUGGACGAUCUGUAAACAGUCUAAAGUAACACAGGUGAGUUUAUUUGUUGUGAAUAGUUAAUUUGGGGUAAGAACACUGAAAUGCAUUUAUUAAAGUUUGGUGUGUUUUAUCAUAUUGGUGUUUCUGCAGUUUUUGGAGAGCCGUGACCUACUCCAGAUGGUUAUUUACAGUGAUUUUACCACGGUAUCACUCGUGUGCUGGCAGGCCUGUAACAGCUCUCCUGACGUGAUGAACGACUGCAAACCAGAUCUUCAGUUCUGAAGAGUGAGACGUUUAUUUCUGUAGUGAUUGACACAAUACAGAGCCUUAACAGAUCAAAUUAU